rnacentral:misc_RNA from 1 species
UUUCCGUAGGUGAACCUGCGGAAGGAUCAUUCGUAAUAAGUGUUUUAUGGCACUUUUUUAAAUCCAUAUCCACCUUGUGUGCAAUGUCAGGGUUGGUCUCUUUUUGAUCAGCCCCAAACAUCAACUAUUAUCUCAACUCUUUGUCUGAAAAAUAUUAUGAAUAAAACAAUUCAAAAUACAACUUUCAACAACGGAUCUCUUGGCUCUC